CGACUUCAUUAAGAAAAGCAGUUUUUAUUACAAAAAUAUUAAAAAGGCUCCUGGGGCAGGAGUGCAUUUGACAGACAGGUCUGUUGGUCUGAGAGUAACUGUAGGCCGGCAUACAGAUCUCUCCAUCACAGAGAAAGCACUGUAGUGUCUUGUUGGCUCCUGCCCCAGGAACUACUAAAAAAAAAAAAACCAUGAGUUCUUCACAUGAAGACUCUGGUCUUAUUCUACCGAGCGCUAAUCAUGUUUAUUUAAAAAGUUCUAGAGAUCCUCUUGAUUUUCGAAAAUUCCAAGUUCGUAAACUUAAAAGUUUUUUUUCAAGAAGUGAAUCGUGUGAGGAGACGGAUGAAGAUUUUGUUCUAAAAAUUACUGAUUCUGGAAUCUUUUAUAAAGACUACUCUAAUAAAAUAAAAUCCUUGGAAUAUUUAAUUUAUAAAUCCAAUUAUCAAUACCAAGAUAUUAAGAAUUAUAAACAUAUUAGUCUCAAAAAGGAAAAGAAUGCAAUUUUUAAUCGUUUUUUUAAUGAUCUUGGUAAAGAAACUAAGAAAACACUGAAAUUGAAAAAACAGCUUGCUUUUAUAUGUUUUAGAAAAAAAGAUGGAUUAUUUGACAUGAAUAGAUGGAAAGUUUAUAAAAAAUCUGAUUUACCAAAAGAAGAGCAUACUGAAGAUAAAAUAUUUGAACUGCUUCUAGAAAUGUAUGAUGAAGAUGAGUGUUGUUUUUCAGAAAUAUAUAUAUUUACUACAAAUAGCCCAUGUUUGGCAAGACCCAACCAUGUGCCCUGCAUGAUUCAGGCUGUUGAAAUAGCAAUGAUGUUAUAUAAAAAGCAUGGCAUAAAAACCACUAUUGGAUAUCUUGAACCCUGGGGUUUCAGUGGUUCGUAUGAAAACGUUUUGCGUGAAUGCUCUAUUAAAGAUUGCAGUUAUUAUUUUGAGUCCCAAAUGCUGGAAAGCAAAGAUAUGAUUAAUAACUCACCCCAAACACCAACUAAAAGAAUAGAAAUUGACAUGGAAUUAAUAAGCCCGAUUUACAAACAAAUUAUUCCAGAAGUAGAAAAUCUAAAAUUUUCCGUGAAAGAUAGUAAAACAACGGAGACCAGAAGAACAGGACCAAAACUUGAUCUUGCACAAUUUUGUUCAAAAAUAUCCAAACCUGAUAGCAAAGAAAAAUUUAUGAAAAACUUAAAUAAAACCAUAUCCGAUUUAUUUAAAAAAGAUUUAGACAAAACUUUUGGUGAUUUCAAAAACCAUGGUUUGGAAAUGUUUGCGAAAUGCAUGAAAAAUAUAAACGAUCUUUUCAUUGAAAUUGACUAUGCAAAUAUUUACGAAGAAAUCCACGAAUAUCUGAAAAGCGUUUUCUUUCCUUGGUGGGCUGGAAAAGUGGAAGAUGCAUCCAGCAAGUUCUUAAAAAAGCAAACCAGUUCCUUUCUACAAGAAAGUGCUGUUUUUCAUUCCCUUAGAGAUAUAAAAGAAACAGAAAAUUUUUUCGAUAUUGGUUAUGUGAUUCUCGAAAAUUGGAAUAUUUAG
ensembl:lncRNA